rnacentral:sRNA from 1 species
CAGAGCUUUUAAUGUAGGACUGCCUCCACUCUCUGAGAAUUUGCACUGCCAUCCAGUCAUUCCCCAAAAAGGAACAGAUUGGAGAAAAAGCCAGCCUGAUUUUUUUUCCUUCCCCAGGAUUGGUAUAUGUGUUGCUUCAGUGUGGGUUCAGCUUCCAGUGUGAGGAAACAGCAUUUGACAGUGACGUCCAGCAUCCCCAGACCUUCAUGGAGAAAACUACAGAACAACAUUAAGUUGUUUUGACAAGUAGCUUUGCAUUUCCUUAAUAUUUACUCUGCACUAUCACUUCGUGCCCUGACCUACUAACGGAAUCAUCUUCAUAACACUAACUCACAAAAAUAAAGGCCAAACAAACAACAAACAAACUUUGUAUCCAGAGCCACCCAUCAUUGAAAUCCAAUACGCUUCUCAAAUGGAAAUAGAUUAAAAUCAUGUUCUUACCACA